GAGGUUCUAGCUUAAUUAAAGCAUCUGAGUUGCAUUCAGGAGAUGCAGGUUAGUGUCCUGUGUACCUUA
rfam:Manacus vitellinus contig8258, whole genome shotgun sequence.